AGAGUUUGAUCCUGGCUCAGGAUGAACGCUAGCGAUAGGCUUAACACAUGCAAGUCGAGGGGCUGCAUAAGAGUAGCAAUACUUUGGUGACGACCGGCGCACGGGUGAGUAACGCGUAUGCAACCUGCCCAUAACUGUGGAAUAACCCGUCGAAAGGCGGACUAAUACCUCAUGUUGAUUAUCGUUCGCAUGGAUGAUAAUUGAAAGAUUUAUUGGUUAUGGAUGGGCAUGCGUGACAUUAGGUAGUUGGUGAGGUAACGGCUCACCAAGCCGACGAUGUCUAGGGGUUCUGAGAGGAAGGUCCCCCACACUGGAACUGAGACACGGUCCAGACUCCUACGGGAGGCAGCAGUGAGGAAUACUGGUCAAUGGGCGAGAGCCUGAACCAGCCAAAUCGCGUGAAGGAUGAAGGUAUUAUGUAUUGUAAACUUCUUUUGUCGGGGAAUAAAGUGCGGUACGUGUACCGUUUUGUAUGUACCCGAAGAAUAAGCAUCGGCUAACUCCGUGCCAGCAGCCGCGGUAAUACGGAGGAUGCGAGCGUUAUCCGGAUUUAUUGGGUUUAAAGGGUGCGUAGGCGGGACAUCAAGUCAGCGGUGAAAGUUCGUGGCUCAACCACGAAAUUGCCGUUGAAACUGUUGUUCUUGAGUGUAGAUGAGGUAGGCGGAAUUCGUAGUGUAGCGGUGAAAUGCUUAGAUAUUACGAAGAACUCCAAUUGCGUAGGCAGCUUACUAGGCUACAACUGACGCUGAGGCACGAAGGUGCGGGUAUCAAACAG
rnacentral:rRNA from 1 species